rnacentral:rRNA from 1 species
UAGUCCACACAGUAAACGAUGGAUACUAGGUGUUGGAUGGUAACGUUCAGCGCCGGAGCAAACGCAUUAAGUAUCCCGCCUGGGGAGUACGAUCGCAAGAUUGAAACUCAAAGGAAUUGACGGGGGCUCACACAAGCGGUGGAGGAUGUGGCUUAAUUCGAGGCUACGCGAAGAACCUUACCUAGACUUAACAUGCUUGGGAACGUCUGUGAAAGCAGAAAGUGCCUUUCGGGGAACCCUUGCGUAGGUGCUGCAUGGCUGUCGUCAGCUCGUGUCGUGAGAUGUCGGGUUAAGUCCCUUAACGAGCGAAACCCUUGUCUUCAGUUGCCAGCGGGUCAAGCCGGGGACUCUAAUGAAACUGCCACCGUAAGGUGAGAGGAAGGUGGGGAUGACGUCAAAUCAGCACGGCCCUUAUGUCCAGGGCUACACACGUGUUACAAUGGUCGAUACAGAGGGCAGCUACCUGGUGACAGGAUGCAAAUCUCUAAAGUCGGUCCAAGUUCGGAUCG